rnacentral:tRNA from 1 species
UCCCUUGUAGCUCAGUUGGUAAAGAAUCUGUCUGCAAUGCAGGAGACCUGGGUUCAAUUCCUAGCUUGAGAA